GUCCCCGGCGUCCGGGCGCCCUGCAUGGAUCCCCCACCCCAGCUCCUGCUCCCCGGCGGCGGCCGGUGGGCAGAAAGACCGAAACCCACUCACGGCCGCCUGCCGAAUCGCGGCUCUGCUGUUUGUGGGGCGUGCUAGAAACGUGGUCCUAAAAAGAAUGGCGUCCAUUUACAUAAUGCUUUGUUUGCGUUUCGCAAGUUUCUUUCGGUUAAAGCCACAGAAACCCCACCUCCUGCCCUUGUGUCGUUUCCACCGCGGCACCCUUUUCCGACAUUAGAAACAAUAGUGUACGCCUGUGGAGGCCUCGUUUGUUCAGGGGCUGCCGGCCAGGGCUUCAGGACGUUUCUGCGGCUUUCCCCGCGCGGCCUGGGCUCCCGCGGCUGCUUUUCGGGCCCAUGGGCGCAGCCACUGCGCCAGGCUCAAGGGGGGCGGCCCCGUCAGGGCCCGCCAUCUUGGAAGGCCUUUUUUGCCGGUUCUUCCCGCUGAGGAAGUGUCGCUCAAGACGCUGGCCUAUGAGUUGUGAUUUCUGCCUUUUCCCCUUCCUCCUUGGGCUAAGCCAGACCAGAAAGGGCCCCGUGCGCAACGUGCUUCACAAUCUCUCAGGGAAAGCGGCUAACGUGGCGCUACUCCGCCUCCCCUGUUCCUUACCCUUGGGGCGGCCGCCAUGUUUCCUGAACACAAAAUGGCGACACGUGGUUAGCAUUCGUCGCCAACGAGAAAUUGGGGUCGGCCCGAAAGCUCUAGAAUGCACCCCUCUUCCUCCCCGGGGCCUUCCACCUCCGCGAGUUUUAUGACUUAAAAAAGCCCACAGGCUGGUCUGAAGGUCGGAGGCCUAAUUUUAACGCGUUUUCCUCCCUUUAAUUUGAAACGGGAACGCGAAUGACUGUAAAAUGUGGGCACAAUAUUUAAUCUCUCGCCUUUUUAAAGCUUAAUAGUGGAUAAUAGGGGGGCAGUAUCAAGGGAUAAUUUGGGUCCCCACAGUACCAAAGCAUUUAGAAACCUCUGUUUAAUUUAAGGAAUGAGAUAAGUUACUGCUUUUCUAGACUUCCUAGCAUGGGCUGUUGUGCUGGAGAGAACGAGAGCUACGAAGAGACUACAGUGCCUCUGACUUUUUCAUAGGACAGUUGGCCGGUGAAUCUUAUUAAUAGUUUACCACAAUUAAGUGUUCAUUUUUAGUCUAGAAGGGACAGGCGUUUAUUGUGCAUUGGCCAGUGCCAGCACAUCCGAUGCAAGGCAGUUCACCGUAUUCUAUCUUUAAUUUUUACCAUGGUCCUCUGAGGUAGGUGUUCUUAUCUCUCUCUCUCUCUCUCUCUUUUAAACAGAGGAAGACAAACAUAAAGAUGAAGUGCUUAAUUCAAGGUCACACAAUGUCGGGGAUGGACCUCCAGAUUUCCUUACUGACCUGCAUUAUCUUGUGGAUACCUGAGUGAAUUCCACACCACCCAUUUUAUAGAUGAAACCACUGAGACAUGGAGCAAUUGACUGAGUAGUCACUGCCCCACCCCUGCCUGGAGCCUCACACAUGACUCGCCUCCUCUCAGUGACCACAGGUUGGUUGAGGGGUUUAACAAGGCUAAGAAGGUGAGACGUGGUCUUGUAACACAGUGGUUAAGAAUGUGACUUUGGAGCCAGCCUGCUAGGGGCUGAAUUCUGACUCAGCCAUUUACUAACUGUGUGACCUUAGGGAGGAGGACCUGGUUGAUAGAAGAAUUUAUCUCGUAGUCUUAACAUCCACUGUAAUUCCAAACUUUGAGGACGAUAGAGAUCAGUGGGCUUUGACUGCCCAGCAUGCAGUCUCCAUUCUUAGGUGGGUUCCCAAGCCUGUAAAAUGUAAGCCUUAUGCUGCUGAGGGCCAUCUUGCCACCCUGAGGGAAACGCUGCCUGAGAAUGAAACAAGCAUAAGUAAAAGCUGAGCUGUGAGAUGGAGCAAGAUGAAGGCCACAUGACAUCUUUGGAGCACCUGGAUCUAACUGUGCCUUAAGCUAGUCUAACCCUGAACAUUUCAUCAUUUCAUUGACAUGAGCCCAGGUUUUCUUUUUUUUUGGAUGGAGUCUUGCUCUGUCGCCCAGGCUGGAGUGCAGUAGCUCAAUCUCGGCUCACUGCAAGCUCCACCUCCCGGGUUCACGCCAUUCUCCUGCCUUAGCCUCCCAAGUAGCUGGGACAACAGGCGCCCACCACCACUCCCAGCUAAUUUUUUGUAUUUUUAGUAGAGACGGGGUUUUACCAUGUUAGCCGGGAUGGUCUUGAUCUCCUGACCUCAUGAUCCGCCCGCCUCGGCCUCCCAAAGUGCUGGGAUUACAGGUGUGAGCCACUGCACCCAGCCCUCAGGUUUUCCCUUUUUUUACCCCUCCUUUUGAAAAUUUGAUGUGGAAUUUUGCCACCUGCAGCCAGAAGAGUUUUAACUAAUCAGUGCCAUAAAUUUUAUAUAGUUCUCCUUGCAAAAUGUGGAUCAGCCUUUCUCAGCAAAUCCUUUGUCAUAAAGUGCUGAAUUGUAAGUUUGUCAUGAGAAUCACAUGAGAUCAUGCAUGUGAAGAACCUGGCAUUAUCCUCCUCAUAGAAAAAAACCAGUAAAUAUUAACUACAGGAAGCAAGGAAGGAGUGGGGUGAGGGGAAGAAGAAGGGGUACUGAUUUAAAAGAACCCUGGAGUCCUAAGGAUAAUCUAGGAACCCUCAGACCCAAUCCGAUACCCCUAUUCUAAAUGCUCCUAGUGCCCUGUACCUUCCCCUCAUAAGCCUUCAUUAUCAUUGUAAUGAUAUGUUUAUGUAAUAUUUUGAUUAAUGUCUCUCCUUCACUGACCUAGCAGUUCUAGCAGGGCAGUGAUUUUGCUGUGUUGCAUCCCCAGCACCUAGUCUGGUAUGUGGCAUUCAGCAUAUGUUUAUUGAAUGAAUGGCCAUGUGGUUAUUCAGAUCCUCCUUGAUUAUUGGGGUUAGGAUUGUGGCAGAAGUGGCAAAAUCAGGGAGAGUAGUCCCUGUCCCCUCUGUAUCUUAUACACUGCCCACACUCCCAACACACAUACACAUACAGAGAAUUUUGUCUCAAUUAGAUAAUUAACUUCUGCUUGGUUGUAAACCAAACCACUGGUUCUUAAACUUUCAUUGGAUCAUUUUAUUGAAGAAUUAAAUAGUGUGGUUCUGGCCUAAUGUCUGGAAAGCCUUGCAGAGGAGUGGAUUAGGUCUUUGUGAUAAACAGGCAGCCUUCCCUGCUCCUGUGUCUUUAUAAAAUCUAUUUAACUGGAGUAGUCCACCCUCCCUCAGGCUCUUACAGGAAUAUGUUGGAGGCUGUAGGAAGGUGGGAAACCGAGAGGGAAAGGACUGGGCCGCUGGAGACUUCACUCAUUCCCUAGCAAGAAACAAAAGCAGUAAAAGGUGGCCCGAGGACAACCUGAAGCUCACUCCUUCAGCACUUUUGGCUGGAGGUCACUUGUUGGAGCCCCACUCAGAGCUCAGCACACCACCCCACCAGCAGCCUCCUCCUCCCAGCUGAGGCUGCAUUUCAUCCCUUCCCCCAGCCUGCUUUCCCUGAGAUAGGGGAGUGUUUCCCAGGGCCCAUGUGACUUCCACUGGCAAGUGACGAUUACCAAUGGUUUACUAGUCAGUGAAACUACCAAAGGCUUUUGUGCUGUAGUAAUCCUUUUCCUGUUUAAAACUCUGGGGAUUUUCUAAUGUUGCCAAUAGUUUUUCAAGUCAGCAAUUACUGUGUGGAUUAUGUAAUGGCUCGGUAUUAAAAAUAGAAAAGACUGGA
rnacentral:lncRNA from 1 species